AGAGUUUGAUCCUGGCUCAGAACGAACGCUGGCGGCAGGCCUAACACAUGCAAGUCGAGCGCGCCUUCGGGUGAGCGGCGGACGGGUUAGUAACGCGUGGGAACGUGCCCUUCUCUACGGAAUAGCCUCUGGAAACGGAGAGUAAUACCGUAUACGCCCUUUGGGGGAAAGAUUUAUCGGAGAAGGAUCGGCCCGCGUUAGAUUAGGUAGUUGGUGGGGUAACGGCCUACCAAGCCUACGAUCUAUAGCUGGUUUUAGAGGAUGAUCAGCAACACUGGGACUGAGACACGGCCCAGACUCCUACGGGAGGCAGCAGUGGGGAAUCUUAGACAAUGGGGGCAACCCUGAUCUAGCCAUGCCGCGUGAGUGAUGAAGGCCUUAGGGUCGUAAAGCUCUUUCGCCUGUGAUGAUAAUGACAGUAGCAGGUAAAGAAACCCCGGCUAACUCCGUGCCAGCAGCCGCGGUAAUACGGAGGGGGUUAGCGUUGUUCGGAAUUACUGGGCGUAAAGCGCGCGUAGGCGGAUUAGAAAGUUGGGGGUGAAAUCCCGGGGCUCAACCUCGGAACUGCCUCCAAAACUGCUAGUCUAGAGUUCGAGAGAGGUGAGUGGAAUUCCGAGUGUAGAGGUGAAAUUCGUAGAUAUUCGGAGGAACACCAGUGGCGAAGGCGGCUCACUGGCUCGAUACUGACGCUGAGGUGCGAAAGUGUGGGGAGCAAACAGGAUUAGAUACCCUGGUAGUCCACACCGUAAACGAUGAAUGCCAGUCGUCGGGUAGUAUACUAUUCGGUGACACACCUAACGGAUUAAGCAUUCCGCCUGGGGAGUACGGUCGCAAGAUUAAAACUUAAAGGAAUUGACGG
rnacentral:rRNA from 1 species